rnacentral:rRNA from 1 species
GACGAACGCUGGCGGCGUGCUUAACACAUGCAAGUCGAGCGGAGCUGCGAACGGGUGAGUAACGCGUGAGUAACUGCCCCCCUCUCUGGGAUUACAGUUGGAAACGGCUGCUAAUACCGGAUAGUGGGGGAUGACUCGGGUCCUAUCAGCUUGUUGGUUGGGUAGUGGCCUACCAAGGCGACGACGGGUACCCGGCCUGGGCGGGCGACCGGCCACAUGGGGCUGAGAUACGGGACGAACUCCUACGGGAGGCAGGAGUGGGGAAUAUUGCACAAUGGGGGAAAGCCGGAUGCAGCAACGCGCGUGCGGGAUGGCAGCCUUCGGGUUGAAGACCGCUUUCAGAUAUGACGAGGUAGUAGAAGAAGAAGCACCGGCUAACUACGUGCCAGCAGCCGCGGUAAUAC